GACGAACGCUGGCGGCGUGCCUAACACAUGCAAGUCGAACGGAAAGGUCCUGCUUUUGUGGGGAGGUCGAGUGGCGAAGGGGUGAGUAACACGUGAGUAACCCGUCCCUGACUGAGGGAUAACUUCAGGAAACUGGGGCUAAUACCGGAUAGGAGCUACUGCUGCAUGGUGGGGGUUGGUAAGUUUCGGUGGUUGGGGAUGGACUCGCGGCUUAUGAGCUUGUUGGUGGGGUGGUGGGUUACCAAGGUUUUGAGGGGUAGCCGACCUGAGCGGGGGACCGGCCACAUGGCUCCUGGGAUACGCCCCAGACUCCUAUGGUACGCAGCAGGGGGGAGUAUUGCACAGUAGGCGGGAGCCAGAUGCAACAACGCCGCGAGCGGGAAGACGGCCUUCGGGUUGUAAACCACUGUCGCCUGUGCCGAGGAGUUAGUGACGGUACCGGGUAAAGAAGCACCGGCUAACUACGUG
rnacentral:rRNA from 1 species